rnacentral:rRNA from 1 species
CCUACGGGUGGCAGCAGUCGAGAAUUAUUCACAAUGGGGGAAACCCUGAUGGUGCGACGCCGCGUGGGGGAAUGAAGGUCUUCGGAUUGUAAACCCCUGUCAUGUGGGAGCAAAUUAAAAAGAUAGUACCACAAGAGGAAGAGACGGCUAACUCUGUGCCAGCAGCCGCGGUAAUACAGAGGUCUCAAGCGUUGUUCGGAAUCACUGGGCGUAAGGCGUGCGUAGGCUGUUUCGUAAGUCGUGUGUGAAAGGCCAGGGCUCAACCCGCGGACGGCACAUGAUACUGGGAGACUAGAGUAAUGGAGGGGGAACCGGAAUUCUCGGUGUAGCAGUGAAAUGCGUAGAUAUCGAGAGGAACACUCGUGGCGAAGGCGGGUUCCUGGACAUUAACUGACGCUGAGGCACGAAGGCCAGGGGAGCGAAAGGGAUUAGAUACCCCGGUAGUC